rfam:Choloepus hoffmanni cont1.502571, whole genome shotgun sequence.
AGGAGCCUGCGGAUGAGACGGCCUCAGGGAGGGAAGGUAGCGCGCAACUACCGGCCAUUUUCAGCUCGGGUGGAGCUAAGUUUGGAAUCUGUAACCUGGAGGGG